GACGAACGCUGGCGGCGCGCCUAACACAUGCAAGUCGAACGGAGCCAAGAGGAGCUUGCUUUUCUUAGCUUAGUGGCGAACGGGUGAGUAACGCGUGAGUAACCUGCCCUAGAGUGGGGGACAACAGUUGGAAACGACUGCUAAUACCGCAUAAGCCCACGGAUCCGCAUGGAUCUGCGGGAAAAGGAUUUAUUCGCUUUAGGAUGGACUCGCGUCCAAUUAGCUAGUUGGUGAGGUAAAAGCUCACCAAGGCGACGACGGGUAGGGGGCCUGAGAGGGUGACCCCCCACACUGGCACUGAAACACGGGCCAGACACCUACGGGUGGCUG
rnacentral:rRNA from 1 species